CGGGAUGUAGCCUAGUGGCUAAGGCACUUGCUUUGGGAGCAAGGAAUCGGCGGUUCAAAUCCGCCCAUCCCGA
rnacentral:tRNA from 1 species